rnacentral:lncRNA from 1 species
CUUAAAUAUCCUUCAGCAGGAUAAACAGCUGAGGAAGCCCUGCUGCUCACUCACUCACUACAGCUGCAUUUCCCACAGGUUUUAUGAUCUGAUUAUUCUUAGGGUGCUUUCCCUGGAUAGUUGUGAGCUGCACAGCCUGCAGAAGCCUUUGCUUGAAGUGUCUCAGAGCACUCACCUGCCCCUGGAAGCAGGGGAAUUUUAGCAGGUGGGAUGAGCAGUAAGUUGACCCCAGCACUCAGCUGUGCUCUUGCGUUUAUGAGAAGCUUUAAAGGAAUUUGCCCGGGGGAAGAAGACAGCUGCUGCCCUGAUGAGGGAUUUUUCUGAGCAGGCCUCCCGAGCCAGACAUGUCAGUGUGAGAUGCUGCCCACGUUUUUCAUCGUGACCAACAGCUCAGAUGUCCUCCUGCUGCAUUUCUCCUCAUUCAUCUCAUGGCUGAUGGCAGCCCUGCCAUCAACAGCAGCCCAAAUGCUUUGGGCAGAAGUUACAGUUCCACUAGUUUUUGCUCCUAAACUACAACAAGUGUUUAACAAAAUCUGACUCAGAAUGACCUCACUCUCUCCAGCCCUGUCCAUCUCCCACAUCCCACAUCAACAGGAUGAUUGAUUUGGAAAGAGUGAGCCAAAGGCAGAUAUUAGCAUUUGGCUCCUUGGUAACUCUUAUUCAAUCAAUACAUGUUUUACAUUUUAGGUCCCAGUGGCAGGAUGAUCAGAACAAAUUAGAAAAUCUCAGGUGGAAUAAACCUAAUGGCUGUGGAACA